GACGAACGCUGGCGGCGUGCUUAACACAUGCAAGUCGAACGAUGAAGAAAAGAAUUGAAGCUUUGGCAGAAAUUCAUUUCGGAUUAGUGGCAGACGGGUGAGUAACGCGUGAGCAACCUACCUCUUACAAAGGGAUAGCCUCGGGAAACCGGGAUUAAUACCAUAUAACAUUGCGACGAAGCAUUUCGAUGCAAUCAAAGCUACGGCGGUAAGAGAUGGGCUCGCGUCCCAUUAACCAGAUGGUGAGGUAACGGCUCACCAUAGUAACGAUGGGUAACCGGCCUGAGAGGGUGAACGGUCAAGAUGGAACUGAGACACGGUCCAGACGCCUACGGGAGGCAGCAGUGGGGAAUAUUGCACAAUGGAGGGAACUCUGAUGCAGCGACGCCGCGUGAAUGAUGAAGGAAUUCGUAUCGUAAAACUCUGUUCUAUGGGAAGAAAAGGACUGUACCAUAGAAGAAAGCUCCGGCUAAAUACGUG
rnacentral:rRNA from 1 species